UGUUGGUGAUGAAGCACCCUCUGUCAGAGCACUGGGCCCUGCCAGGGGUAAGCC
rnacentral:snoRNA from 1 species